GAUGAACGCUGGCGGCGUGCCUAAUACAUGCAAGUCGAGCGAACAGAUAAGGAGCUUGCUCCUUUGACGUUAGCGGCGGACGGGUGAGUAACACGUGGGUAACCUACCUAUAAGACUGGGAUAACUUCGGGAAACCGGAGCUAAUACCGGAUAACAUUUGGAACCGCAUGGUUCUAAAGUGAAAGAUGGUUUUGCUAUCACUUAUAGAUGGACCCGCGCCGUAUUGGCUAGUUGGUAAGGUAACGGCUUACCAAGGCGACGAUACGUAGCCGACCUGAGAGGGUGAUCGGCCACACUGGAACUGAGACACGGUCCAGACUCCUACGGGAGGCAGCAGUAGGGAAUCUUCCGCAAUGGGCGAAAGCCUGACGGAGCAACGCCGCGUGAGUGAUGAAGGGUUUCGGCUCGUAAAACUCUGUUAUUAGGGAAGAACAAAUGUGUAAGUAACUGUGCACGUCCUGACGGUACCUAAUCAGAAAGCCACGGCUAACUACGUG
rnacentral:rRNA from 1 species